GAUGAACGCUAGCGGCAGGCCUAACACAUGCAAGUCGAGGGGUGAUAUAGAAAAGCUUGCUUUUCUGAUGACGACCGGCGCACGGGUGCGUAACGCGUAUACAACCUACCUUUUAGCGGGGAAUAGCCCAGGGAAACUUGGAUUAAUGCCCCAUAGUAUAUGGACUUCUCCUGAAGUUUAUAUUAAACAUUUAUGGCUAUUAGAUGGGUAUGCGUCCUAUUAGUUAGUUGGUAAGGUAACGGCUUACCAAGGCAGCGAUAGGUAGGGGUCCUGAGAGGGAGAUCCCCACACUGGUACUGAGACACGGACCAGACUCCUACGGGAGGCAGCAGUGAGGAAUAUUGGACAAUGGGCGAGAGCCUGAUCCAGCCAUGCCGCGUGCAGGAAGACUGCCCUAUGGGUUGUAAACUGCUUUUACAGAGGAAGAACCACCCCCACGUGUGGGGGUUUGACGGUACUCUGCGAAUAAGGAUCGGCUAACUCCGUG
rnacentral:rRNA from 1 species